CCCUUCUCAGGAUGGCACCUGGAGAGUUUCCAGUACUCUACCAGUCUUGGCUAUGGGAGGGAGAGUCAAGCAGAGGCAUACCCUUUCCAUUCCCAGCUUGGGCAAUGGUUAGGAAGUGCAAGACAAUCUGCUACAAAU
rnacentral:snoRNA from 1 species